UACGUAGGGCGUAAGCGUUGUCCGGAAUUAUUGGGCGUAAAGAGCUCGUAGGCGGUCUGUUACGUCCGCUGUGAAAACCCAGGGCUUAACCCUGGGCUUGCAGUGGAUACGGGUAGACUAGAGGCAGGUAGGGGAGAAUGGAAUUCCCGGUGUAGCGGUGAAAUGCGCAGAUAUCGGGAGGAACACCGGUGGCGAAGGCGGUUCUCUGGGCCUGACCUGACGCUGAGGAGCGAAAGCGUGGGGAGCGAACAGG
rnacentral:rRNA from 1 species